UGGUACAGAGGUCUAUAAAAAGAACUGGUUAUCCGUUUCAAUAACUUCUUUGUCAUUAUGAUACAGCAGAUGAUAUAGGUCUUUAUAGGAGUAAAACAUGUCCACCAUUGACUGAAUGUGUAUACUGUAAACAAGUACAAUGUUUUGAAUUAACCCACACAUCUGAAUCAUCGGAUGCACGUGUAAUUUAAGAUGUAUAAACCCGAUACUAGUGAUAGUUAUUAUCACACUUGAUGCCAGCCAGCAACAGCAGCUGAGACAUUACUAGACAAAUUGUUCAGGGAGGUGGUCGCUGCCCAGCUCAUCAAGAAUCUCCCACUCACAUUUGGCUGCUAUAUUUUUGGAGACAAAGGAUAUAUCCAGACAAGACCAGGGCCAUUGGUGCGCAGGCCACGGGCGUUCCACUGGAGUAUAUUUAAACCGUUAUAUUUA